UACGUAGGGGGCAAGCGUUGUCCGGAUUUAUUGGGCGUAAAGCGCACGCAGGCGGUCUCUUAAGUUUUGAGUGACAGGUAGUGGCUCAACCACAACAGGCCUCAGAAGACUGGGAGACUUGAGGACGAGAGAGGGAUGCGGAAUUCCAGGUGGAGCGGUGAAAUGCGUAGAUAUCUGGAGGAACACCGGUGGCGAAGGCGGCAUCCUGGACCAAUUCUGACGCUGAGGAGCGAAAGCCAGGGGAGCAAACGGG
rnacentral:rRNA from 1 species